CCUGGUUGAUCCUGCCAGUAGUCAUAUGCUUGUCUCAAAGAUUAAGCCAUGCAUGUCUAAGUACAUACCUUAGCACGGUGAAACCGCGAAUGGCUCAUUAAAUCAGUUAUGGUUCCUUAGAUCGUUCAUACUACAUGGAUAACUGUGGUAAUUCUUGAGCUAAUACAUGCAAAAAGCUCCGACCGUAUGGGAAGAGCGCUUUUAUUAGACCAAAACCAAUGGGGUCGCAAGAUCCCUUUGUAUGGCGACUCUGGAUAACUUUGUGCUGAUCGCAUGGCCUAGAGCCGGCGACGUAUCUUUCAAGUGUCUGCCCUAUCAACUUUCGAUAGUAGGAUAGAGGCCUACCAUGGUUUUAACGGGUAACGGGGAAUUAGGGUUCGAUUCCGGAGAGGGAGCCUGAGAAACGGCUACCACAUCUAAGGAAGGCAGCAGGCGCGUAAAUUACCCAAUCCUAAUUCAGGGAGGUAGUGACAAGAAAUAACAAACCGGGUUCUUACGAACUUUGGGAUUGCAAUGAGCACAAUUUAAAUCUCUUAGCAAGGAACAAUUGGAGGGCAAGUCUGGUGCCAGCAGCCGCGGUAAUUCCAGCUCCAAUAGCGUAUAUUAAAGUUGUUGCAGUUAAAAAGCUCGUAGUCUGAUGGGCAGGGGGUGGUUUUUUGGACUGUCCAAGAUUCUGACAAAGCAAUGGGAAGAGGAGGAUUUGGUUGAGUCAUUCAGGGCGUUCCAGCACCUCCUAAAAAUCUGGUCGUGGCUCAAGGGCUACACCCCGCCGGGGAUGGAGCUAUGAAGUUUGAGCUUAAUCCAGAAGAGUGGCCAGAAGCCAUGUUCUAUAAGGAACACGACAUUAAGGGCAUUGCCAGAAGGUUUUCAGAGGUAAUU
rnacentral:rRNA from 1 species